UUCCCCUUAGUAACUGCGAGUGAAGCGGGAAAAGCUCAAAUUUAAAAUCUGGCAGCUUUGGCUCUCCGAGUUGUAGUCUGGAGAAGCGUUUUCUGUGCUGGACCGUGUACAAGUCUCUUGGAACAGAGCGUCGUAGAGGGUGAGAAUCCCGUCUUUGACACGGACUCCCAGUGCUUUGUGAUGCGCUCUCAAAGAGUCGAGUUGUUUGGGAAUGCAGCUCAAAAUGGGUGGUAAAUUCCAUCUAAAGCUAAAUAUUGGCGAGAGACCGAUAGCGAACAAGUACCGUGAGGGAAAGAUGAAAAGCACUUUGGAAAGAGAGUUAAACAGUACGUGAAAUUGCUGAAAAGGGAAACGAUUGAAGUCAGUCGCGUCGGCCAGAACUCAGCCUGGCUUUUGCCUGGUGCAUUUUUCUGGUUGACGGGCCAGCAUCAAUUUUGAUCGCUGGAUAAAGGCCUUGGGAAUGUGGCACCUUCGGGUGUGUUAUAGCCCUUGGUUGUAUACAGUGGUUGGGAUUGAGGAUCACAGCAUGCCUUUAUGGCCGGGGUUCGCCCACGUUCAUGCUUAGGAUGCUGGCGUAAUGGCUUUAAACGACCCGUCUUGAAACACGGACCAAGGAGUCUAACAUGCCUGCGAGUGUUUGGGUGGAAAACCCGAGCGCGCAAUGAAAGUGAAAGUUGGGAUCCCUGUCGCGGGGAGCACCGACGCCCGGACCAGACCUUCUGUGACGGAUCCGCGGUAGAGCAUGUAUGUUGGGACCCGAAAGAUGGUGAACUAUGCCUGAAUAGGGUGAAGCCAGAGGAAACUCUGGUGGAGGCUCGUAGCGAUUCUGACGUGCAAAUCGAUCGUCAAAUUUGGGUAUAGGGGGCGAAAGACUAAUCGAAACCAUCUAGUAGCUGGUUCUGCGA
rnacentral:rRNA from 1 species